CCAGCCAUACACGUUGGAGGUUUCCAGAGGAGGGAGUGAGGGAAGGAAAGAGAGAGAGAGGGGUCACACAGAUCCCUUCAUCUUCCAUCCAAGCAAGCAAGAGGCUGCAUCGUGGUCCAAAGAUCCAUUCUAGCCAAGCAAAGCCAUUUACACGGAAACAGAGCAAGGUCAGUGAAGUGUGUGACCUGGGGAGAGGCUGUAGCCUUGGGAAAGCCAAAUAGGGAGGCUUGAGGUUCCCCACCCAGGGAACUGAAUUGCAGGUCUGAAGUGUAGCCAGUGCAUAUAGGGAUCUAGUAGUAGAUUUAGUAAUCUGCUAAAACCAAAAUCCAGUUAAGGUAAUUAGAAGGUCUAUAUAAUCCAGUUAAGGUAAUUAGAAGGUCUAUAUAAUCAGCAGCCUAUUAUUACACAUCCUAGUGUCCAUAUUUGUAUGAACUAGGAUCUUUCAAACUGGUGGCAGUGCACUUUUUAAUGAACUGUAAAAUAAAUAUGAUACUCACUUUCCAAUAGUAUAUGUUCUUGCAAUAAAAAAAUUGCAAUGUUUUCUGACAGGUAUUUUUCCUCCUCAAGUAUCAUUAGCAUUUCUAAUUGCUCAUUACUUGUGUAAAAGGCUUGACUCAGCAGCAUCUAUGCAUCGCUGUUACUGUGCAGCUGGGUUGCUACGUAACAAUGCAAGGUCACUUGGGUGCCUUGGAUAUUGAAAUAUAGGCACCGUAUUCAUUCGGAAUGGGUAAAACAUCCACACAUCUUCAUGAGGUACAGAAACCUCUGCAUGCAGGCUUGGUGAAAACUAUUGUUUGCCUGUGUGAUACAGUUCUCUGACAAGGUUCUUUUAGUUCAUAAUGAAUGCUAUUAGCUUUCAGAACUGGAAACUCCAUCUUUUUCAUAUUGUACGAAUCAUACUACUUCUGUUAGCCCUUGGAGAAUGGGCUUCAUUAGAAAUCUAAAUCAGCAAAUAUUUGGCUUUUCAGAGGUCUCUCUUUCUCAGUAAAUAGUGAAUUAGCAAUUGUUAUAUAGAUAAAUUUUGGGAUAUGUUUAGAUUUUAUGAACCUGUGUAAGUGCUGUCAUAAGGCAGAAUGACAUGGUACACAGACAAACGUGUUACCAAGCCCAUAUUUGGUGAAGUAAUGUAAAAGGAAUGUCAAUGGAGUUUUUAAAGGGGAGAAUUGGUUUAAUGAAGGCAGGCCCUACCAUUAAGCAGAAUGAAGUAGUGGUGGGUGCUGCAGGAGACACCCUACCAGCCUUUAACUCAAACUGCCUAAUCUAACAUCUCCUGCACCUCCUAAGAUGACCUGCUUCCUCCUCACAUGGACCCUAUGACCUGGCUUGCUUUCGUCAGCAGAGGUGAAUUUCGGGUUUUGCCUCACUGCAUGCUAAGCCUAGGGGGUACUGCAACAAUGACAUAGUGAAUUGAGGAGAAUGGAAGGUGAGAGGUGUGUGGGGUUGUGUGUGCCACAUUUUAGUCUCACACAGGGUGCUACUGAAAUUUGAAAGACCCAAGUCCACCCUUGUCCUCAGACAUGGUGGAAGAUGUUCUCUUUUUGCCAGUGUUGAAGAAGAUUCAUCUGCCAGUCAUAUACAGUACAUGGAUUGGAUAGAGGCACCAUAUUGUCUUUUACCUGAGGCAGAAAAAUGUAUUAGGCCAGACCUGAGUGUGCACGCAAAUCUCAUACUCACACAGUUUCUCCCUCACACAUUUCAGACUCAAUGGGUAGAUGCAGAAUUAAGCACCUCUUUGCCCCCACGCCAAUUCUUCCCCACUAUGGUGUUCAUGGGCCAGUAGGUGACACUGUGCAGGAAGGUUGUAGGUUGUAAAUAGGAAAAGAAGAAGUAUGUUUUACCUCGCCUGAUAUGGUGUCCCAGCAUACUGGCCCUGAUUCACAUUUGCCUUACUAGGAAAAGAUGAAUUGUGGAACUUUGUGUUUUCUUCACAUCAUAUAAUGGAUUUCUGUCAUGGCAUCAUUUGACAGGUGGUGAAAGGAGAGGGGUGUAAUCACAGAGCACUAUAUUUGCAGGGUAUGCCUCUGAAAAGCAUAUCUAGUAGACAUAUGCAUGCAAACAGCAGCAUUAUAAGCAAACUGGGUUUGAAAGAUCCUAGUUCAUACAAAUAUGGCUUCUAGGAUGUGUAGCAAUAGGAUGCUGAAGCCUAACAAAUAUAGAACUUUCCCAUUACCUUAAUUGGACAUUUUUAGCAGAUUACUGGCAGUGAAAUAAAUUCUUGAUACACUGACCCUAAGAUUUUUCUUGGCAUCUGCAUCACCAGAGCUCUUUUUGUGAUUAGAAAGGUGUUGUUUGGAUUGCAGGGACCAGAUCCUCUAGAUCAGCACUUUGGGGUUGUUCUAUCCAAAUUUGAUAUACUUUUUGCUAGUAAUCUCACAGUAGUGCUUGGCACCUGGCAUUCAGGAAUGUGAAAAAUGCAGUCCUAAAGAAAGAUUACCACUUGAACAUAAAACACAACUUGCCUUCGUUCCCCCACCAAACUCUGGAGAAUAUCUGUAGGCACUGGAAUGACUUGAUAAAGUGUCAGGGGUGCCAAUUUGAACAAAAUAUUGGGGGGGGGGCAGGGGGUAAGCCCCAUGUCUCAUGAUUUAUCACAUGAUGCGGUGCGCACACAUACACCAUUUGAACAGCAAUGCCCAUCAGGGUUUUUUUUAACAAGACAAGAUCACAAAGACACGGAGUAGUCUUCUCAAGAUUCUACUCCUAUUCAGGCAUUUGAGAGCAUUAAACUGGGGAGUGGGUACACAUGAAAACCCCACCUCCAACAUCCCUACAUGCGCUGGCUACACUUCAGACCUUUGCUCAUUUAUGAAAACACAGGGAUCUUGAUCACAGGGUAGCUCCUAAACACAUUUCACCAAACUCACUUAGAAGCCCCCUUUAGAUCUUUGUGCUGAAUGCUCAAAGGUCUGAAGAGGAACCAGCGUGCAUUGGGAUGUUGGGGGGUGGGUCUUCCAUAAGGUAGGACUCGAACCAAUGGCUUCAAAUUACAAGAAAGGAGAUUCCAACUAAACAUCAGGAAGAACUUUCUGACAGUAAGAACUGUUUGACAGUGGAACAGACUCUCUUGGAAGGUUGUAGACUCUCCCUUCCUUGGAGGUCUUUAAGCAGAGAUUGUAUGGCCAUCUGUCAUAGAUGCUUUAGUUGAGAGUUUAGUUGCAUUGCAGCGGGUUGGACUAGAUGACUCUCGGGGUCCCUUCCAACUCUACAAUUCUAUGUUUAUGAGACCUCUUCCUAGUAUAAGCCUUCAAAUGCCUGACUCAGACUAGAGAAGCACAUUCAUCCAAACAUGUUUAGAAAUCCCCUUCAGAUCUUAGUGCUUUAUGUGUAAAAUAUUGAAACAGAGCCAGUAUAGGUGAAGAUGUUUGCAAUAGGGCUUCCACACACAGCCCUCUCCCCAUUUGUGAUUAGGGUAAGUGAAACUUUUUUGGUAUUCUUAGUUCAGCUUUUAAGACUGGAGGAUGAAAGAAGUGACAAAUAAAAGCUCCUUCUAGGCAAAUAAAAUAUUGGAAAAUAAAAUGUUGGCUUGUAGUAACAAUAAAUAAAUAAAUAGAAUUACGUGAGGAAUCAUUUGAACAAGACAAGGCAGUUUCGAUGGCCUUUUUCUCCACAUGAGUGGCACUCGUCCAUCCUGCAGGUUAGUAUAAAGUAAGAUCACUUGUCAUAGCUGUAAGCUAUCAAUAAAAAUUAACGUACCACGGGAAAUUGAAAGGGGAGAAAGGUAUUUAAAUGUUCAGGGUCAUGGAUCUAUCCAUACAUUUCUCAUGAGCGUAUUUCGGUGAUAAGAGGCAUUGUUGUUUGCCACAGGCUGCCUUUUUCAUGUUUUAUUCCUACGUUAAAUGCCGGCAUAUUCAAAUCAAGGACAGAGGCAGUAAACCUGUAUGCAAUCAGCUAGCUGAACAGAGCUGAGUACUCUGGAACAGCCUUCCCCAACCUGGUGCUCUCAGGUUUUUUGGACGACAGUACAGGCUGGAGUGGAUGGAAGUUGCAGCCCAAAACACCUCGAGGGUACCAGGAUGUGGGAGGCUAUUCUGGAGUGAGAAAAUGCUAACAGUAUAUGAC